AACGCACAUUGCGCCCCUUGGCAUUCCGAGGGGCAUGCCUGUUCGAGCGUCAUUACAACCCUCAAGCACUGCUUGGUAUUGGGCUCCGCUGGUUUCAGCGGGCCUUAAAAUCAGUGGCAGCGCCGUCUGAGCUCUGAGCGUAGUAAAUACCCUCGCUAUAGAGACCAGGUAGCUCUCGUCAUCAACCCCCCCAACUUUCUAAGUUUGACCUCGGAUCAGGUAGGGAUACCCGCUGAACUUAA
rnacentral:misc_RNA from 1 species